rnacentral:rRNA from 1 species
CAGCCGCCACGGGAAUACGAAGGGGGCUAGCGUUGCUCGGAAUUACUGGGCGUAAAGGGAGCGUAGGCGGACAUUUAAGUCAGGGGUGAAAUCCCGGGGCUCAACCUCGGAAUUGCCUUUGAUACUGGGUGUCUUGAGUAUGAGAGAGGUAUGUGGAACUCCGAGUGUAGAGGUGAAAUUCGUAGAUAUUCGGAAGAACACCAGUGGCGAAGGCGACAUACUGGCUCAUUACUGACGCUGAGGCUCGAAAGCGUGGGGAGCAAACAGGAUUAGAUACCCCAGUAGUCCCUGUCUCUUAUAC